GACAGCAGUAGCCGCGGUAAUACGUAGGGUGCAAGCGUUAAUCGGAUUUACUGGGCGUAAAGCGUGCGUAGGUGGCUGUUUAAGUCGGAUGUGAAAGCCCUGGGCUUAACCUGGGAGCUGCAUUCGAUACUGGAUAGCUAGAGAUCGGUAGAAGGCAGCGGAAUUCCGGGUGUAGCGGUGAAAUGCGUAGAUAUCCGGAGGAACACCGAUGGCGAAGGCAACUGCCUGGGCCUGAUCUGACACUGAGGCACGAAAGCGUGGGUAGCAAACAGGAUUAGAUACCCCCGUAGUCCCUGUCUCUUAUAC
rnacentral:rRNA from 1 species